UACGUAGGGGGCAAGCGUUGUCCGGAAUCAUUGGGCGUAAAGAGCGUGUAGGCGGUCCGGUAAGUCGGUUGUGAAAGUCCAGGGCUCAACCCUGGGAUGCCGAUCGAUACUGUCGGACUAGAGUUCGGAAGAGGCGAGUGGAAUUCCUGGUGUAGCGGUGAAAUGCGCAGAUAUCAGGAAGAACACCCGUGGCGAAGGCGGCUCUCUGGGACGGUACUGACGCUGAGACGCGAAAGCGUGGGGAGCGAACAGG
rnacentral:rRNA from 1 species